rnacentral:rRNA from 1 species
UCGGACGUACGUCACGAGGAGUUGUUAGUACUCGUCGCUAGAACGAACGCUGGCGGCGCGUUUAAGCAUGCAAGUCGAGCGGCAAGGGCCUUCGGGCCCCUAGAGCGGCGGACGGGUGAGUAACACGUGGACAAUCUGCCCCCCGGCCCGGGAUAGCCCAGGGAAACCUGGAUUAAUACCGGAUGAGACGGGACCCGCGAUGGCGGGAUCCGGGAAAGGCGCUGCGGCGCCGCCGGGGGAUGAGUCUGCGUCCCAUUAGCUAGACGGCGGGGUAACGGCCCACCGUGGCGACGAUGGGUAGCCGGCCUGAGAGGGUGGACGGCCACAUUGGAACUGAGACACGGUCCAGACUCCUACGGGAGGCAGCAGCUAAGAAUCUUCCGCAAUGGGCGAAAGCCUGACGGAAGCGACGCCGCGUGAACGAAGAAGGCCGUGAGGUUGUAAAGUUCUUUUCGGGAGGGGGAACAACCGUGGCAGGGAAUGGCCGCGGGAUGACGUGAAUCCCGGAAUAAGCCCCGGCUAACUACGUGCCAGCCGCGGC